rnacentral:sRNA from 1 species
AAUAUUUUUGAUCAUAGUAUAAGACCAUCUCCAAUGUAUAGCUCUAUAUCCACCUCUAAAAUAGAGUUACUCUAUUUUAGAGGUGGAUUUCUCUCCAAUGUAUAUCUUCAUUUUCUACUCUAAAAAAGA